rnacentral:rRNA from 1 species
GACGAACGCUGGCGGCGUGCUUAACACAUGCAAGUCGAACGGAAAGGCCCUGCUUUUUUGUGGUGCUCGAGUCGCGAACGGGUGAGUAACCCGUGAGUCUCCUUCCCUUUACUUUGUGAUAUCUUCAGACAACUGCUGCUAAUACCUGAUACGUGCUCCUGCUGCAUGGUGGUGGUUGGAACUUUUAGGCUGAUGGGGAUGGACUGGCGGGUUAUGAGCUUGUUGGUGGGGUAGUGGCUUAGCAAGGCUUCGAAGGGUAGGCGGCCUGAGAGGGGGAACAGGGACAAGAGGACUGAGAGACGGCCCAGACUCGUACGGGAGGCAGUAGGGGAGAAUAUUGCACAAUGGGCGGAAGCGUGAUGCAGAGAUGUCGCGAGUGUGAUGAAGGCCAUGGGGUGGGAAAGCGCAGUAGGCUGAGACGAAGCGGGAGUGACGGUAAUGGGUAAAGAAGCACCGGCUAACUACGUG